AUCAGUGGCGAACGGGUGAGUAACACGUGAGUAACCUGCCCUUGACUCUGGGAUAAGCGUUGGAAACGACGUCUAAUACCGGAUACGAGCUUCAGCCGCAUGGCUAGGAGUUGGAAAGAAUUUCGGUCAAGGAUGGACUCGCGGCCUAUCAGCUUGUUGGUGAGGUAAUGGCUCACCAAGGCGACGACGGGUAGCCGGCCUGAGAGGGUGACCGGCCACACUGGGACUGAGACACGGCCCAGACUCCUACGGGAGGCAGCAGUGGGGAAUAUUGCACAAUGGGCGCAAGCCUGAUGCAGCAACGCCGCGUGAGGGACGACGGCCUUCGGGUUGUAAACCUCUUUUAGCAGGGAAGAAGCGCAAGUGACGGUACCUGCAGAAAAAGCACCGGCUAACUACGUGCCAGCAGCCGCGGUAAUACGUAGGGUGCAAGCGUUGUCCGGAAUUAUUGGGCGUAAAGAGCUCGUAGGCGGUUUGUCGCGUCUGCUGUGAAAACGCGAGGCUCA
rnacentral:rRNA from 4 species